CGAAGCGAAGCAGCGAUGUGAAGCAAAUCGCNCCAAAGCCGGUCCCAGUUCGGAUAAGAGGCUGAAACUCGCCUCUUUGAAGUCGGAAUCGCUAGUAAUCGCAGAUCAGCAUGUUGCGAUGAAUACGUUUCCUGGUCUUGUACACACCGCCCGUCAAACCAUGAGAGUCGCCAACACCCGAAGUCCGCUUUGCGGCCUAAGGUGGGGGAGAUGAUUGGGGUUAAGUCGUAACAAGGUACC
rnacentral:rRNA from 1 species